rnacentral:rRNA from 1 species
AACUCUUAGCGGUGUAUCACUCGGCUCGUGCGUCGAUGAAGAACGCAGCUAGCUGCGAGAACUAAUGUGAUUUGCAGCAUACACUUUUCAUGGAUACGGUUCACAUUUCUAUGAAACCUCCUGCAACUUCAGUUCCU